rnacentral:rRNA from 1 species
UACAGAGGGUGCAAGCGUUAAUCGGAAUUACUGGGCGUAAAGGGCGCGUAGGCGGUCAGUGCAAGUCAGUUGUGAAAUCUCCGGGCUUAACUCGGAAAGGUCAACUGAUACUGCUCGACUAGAGUGCGGAAGGGGCAACUGGAAUUCUUGGUGUAGCGGUGAAAUGCGUAGAUAUCAAGAGGAACACCUGCGGCGAAGGCGGGUUGCUGGGCCGACACUGACGCUGAUGCGCGAAAGCUAGGGGAGCGAACGGG